AGGUCAGAACAUCCUUCGCCCACAUCUUUGUAAAAAUUCCAAGUUGCUUCUUCGUAACCCAAGCCACUUGAGAAGUCUAGAUGUUUGGGCUAUAACUACAGGUGUAAUUGAUUGGGAGAGAAGAUGGAAUCAUAUGCAGCAACACUUUGGGCAUCAUGUAAUCACUUAAAUUGCUGAUUCUUCAUUUUGUUUCAAAACCACAUCUUGGUGGCUUGGGGAAUCUGUUUCCCAUAUUGAACUAGUGUGACUGAUGCUCAACUCAUAACCUUUGAAAGCCAAGCGAAUGAGAAAAUCAGGGAAGCUGUCUCUGUGGAAGUAGAAGUAUACGAAGGAGAUGCGAUUUCCGACUAGGUAAGAAUUUAACUUCAAUCGCCAGAAAGUUUCCAUUUAAGAAAACCGUAAUUUUGUUCGUAGGUCCGUUAUAGAGGUCUUCCCGAUGGCUACGUGGGUCCUGUUCACGUCAUAACUAUUUUAGGUGUAGAUAGUAACAUGCGUUGUGGAACUCACG